rnacentral:rRNA from 1 species
GUCUACGGCCAUACCACCCUGAACGCGCCCGAUCUCGUCUGAUCUCGGAAGCUAAGCAGGGUCGGGCCUGGUUAGUACUUGGAUGGGAGAAGGACUGGCCACGUGAUGGAUG